rnacentral:rRNA from 1 species
AGAACGAACGCUGGUGGCAUGCCUAACACAUGCAAGUCGAACGAGAAGUCCCGCAAGGGAUUGUAAAGUGGCGCACGGGUGCGUAACACGUGGGUAAUCUACCCUUUAGCUUGGGAUAACCUCUCGAAAGAGAGGCUAAUACCGGAGAGACCACAGGGACAUCAGUCCUAGGGGUUAAAGAUGGGGACCGCAAGGCCUAUCACUAUUGGAUGAGCUCGCGCACUAUCAGCUAGUUGGUGAGGUAAUGGCUCACCAAGGCUAUGACGGUUAGCUGGUCUGAGAGGAUGAUCAGCCACACUGGAACUGAGACACGGUCCAGACUCCUACGGGAGGCAGCAGUGGGGAAUCUUGCACAAUGGGCGAAAGCCUGAUGCAGCAAUGCCGCGUGAGUGAUGAAGGCCUUCGGGUUGUAAAUCUCUGUCGGCGUGGGACAAACGGGUUCAUGUCUAAUAGGCAUGAGCAGUGAUGGUAACCG